ACGGCGCCGUUAGGUGAGACCCGGAAGCUCUGUCUCUGAUGGGCACAUGGUUUGGGGACUGCAAUUAUUAAAAGGCUGCAGUGAGACUUUGAGGGACGUCAGCGAAUCACCUCCGAGUCUCUAAGCGGUCUCCCCAUCCCUGGAGUUCGGAAUGCUUUACUUGAUCGGCUUGGGCCUGGGAGAUGCCAAGGACAUCACAGUCAAGGGCCUGGAAGUUGUGAGACGAUGCAGUCGCGUGUAUCUGGAAGCCUACACCUCAGUCCUGACUGUAGGGAAGGAAGCCCUGGAAGAGUUUUAUGGAAGAAAAUUGAUUCUUGCUGACAGAGAAGAAGUAGAACAAGAAGCAGAUAAUAUUUUUAAGGAUGCAGAUGUCAGUGAUGUUGCGUUCCUUGUGGUUGGUGAUCCAUUUGGGGCUACAACACACAGUGAUCUUAUUCUGAGAGCAACAAAGUUGGGCAUCCCUUAUCAAGUUAUUCACAAUGCCUCCAUAAUGAACGCUGUAGGCUGCUGUGGUUUGCAGUUGUACAGGUUUGGAGAAACAGUUUCUAUUGUGUUUUGGACGGACACUUGGCGACCAGAGAGCUUCUUUGACAAGGUGAAGAGGAACCGGGCCAAUGGCAUGCACACGCUGUGCUUACUCGAUAUCAAAGUGAAGGAGCAGUCUCUGGAGAACCUCAUCAGGCUCACUCCCCCGUGUAUGAGGACGGGGUCCUCUCUCAGUGAGGAGGCAGCGUGGACUACAGCAGCUCCCUCACACAUGCCAGUGAGCACCUGGAAUACGGCUGAUGAAGCUGAGGAACCCAAGGUUUUAUUUCAUUUUACACUAAGGAAGAAAGAUCUAUGAACCCCCUCGGUACAUGAGUGUGAACCAGGCGGCCCAGCAGCUUCUAGAGAUUGUUCAGAAUCACAGAGCACGCGGGGAGGAACCAGCAAUCACUGAGGAGACACUCUGUGUCGGCUUAGCCAGAGUGGGAGCUGAAGAUCAGAAAAUUGCAGCAGGCACGUUACAGCAGAUGUGCACAGUGAGCUUGGGAGAACCACUGCAUUCUUUGGUCAUUACAGGGGGCAACCUGCACCCACUGGAGAUGGAGAUGCUAAGUCUCUUCUCUAUACCGGAAUCCCAGAGUACUGAUGGACUCUGAGCAUGGACAUUUUCUGUUGUCUCACGAUCAUUUCAGUGAGAUUGGGGUGUGUGUGGUAUUUAUAUGUCAAAUGGCAUGGCUCUGUCAUUUAUGAAGAAGAUAUAACCGAAGUGACCAAGAAGAAGCAGGUUGAACGACAGCGUUUGGUUUCCUGCGGCAGCUUCCCCCAUUCCAUCGUGAGUUUCCUACUCGUCAGGGUGCACACACGUGGGCAGAUGGAGCUGAAAAAGGGAGCCAAGUCGAUGCAAGGAGGUGGAGACCAAGAAUAACGUGAGGAAACUGGACAAUGAAUCACUUGAACUCUGAUUUUCAGGGACAAAGCAGCAUGAAUCAGCAAGAAAAGCAAAUAAAAGAUUGCUAACUCUUCAUAUAUUGUUUUAUAAUCUCCUUUAUAAAAGGUAGCUGUCAGGCUGGAGAGAUGGCUCAGUGGUUAAGAGCACUGACUGCUCUUCCAGAGGUCCUGAGUUCAAUUCCCAGCAACCACAUGGUGGCUCACAACCAUCUGUAAUGGGAUCUGAUGCUCUCUUCUGGUGUGUCUGAAGACAGGUGAGCAACCCACCCCAUGCCGCCAAGGACAAGGAGCUGGUUCUGCCACAGCGCCACCACACCGUGUAAGCCAAAUAGAACCACCCCCUUCUUUACAUUGCCUACUUGAGCAAUGACGAGAGUGACUCAACACUGCCCAAAUGACCUCCAAACUGGCCUUUUCUUUCUGCGUUCUCACAGUAUCACACGUGAGUUCUCAUUGUUCGUCUCUUACAGGUCAGCUCUGGAGAGAUUGACUGCCUCUGUCUCGCUCUCCCCAAACACUGCUAGCGGAAGACUAGAUGUAAGGUUGUUUAUAAAGGAUGUCAUUUGCCACCCUCUCAGAUCACAGAUUGUAGUAAAAUGCAACUUCAACUCAGUUCCUGUAUGCUCAUUGCCUUUUGGAGACAGGUGGCACAGCGCCCCACCCUUUUGACCUUUUUAGUUUUGGGGCAAAUGUUAAAAAGAGGUAGUGUGCUUCCUUCGCUUCUUUUUGAAGCUGUUUGCUUUCUAGCUCCUCCACUUUUCCCGUACAUGAUAGCAGAACUUUACUGGCACUGCAGUGAGGCCCGUGGGAGUUUGACUGCAAGUCUUCCAUAUGGUGUGGAUAGUCUGGAGUUUAUCCCAUGUGGGAAGAAUACAGCCAUUCUUCAAAUAUCUCUUUUGCACUGAAUGCUUUAUCCUCUUUCUUGAUCUCUGAUGAAUCUGAGAAUAGGAGUGUCGGACAUUGCUUAUCCCACAGUCGCUGAGCUGUGUUCUGUUUCUGUAGUUUCUUUCUUGAAAUGGUUUUUGUGUUCUGAAUGGGUAACUUUUCCUGAUCUGUCUUCACGGUUAUUGACUCUUGCUUCUUCUAUACUGCUAUUGAGUUCAUUUGAUAUGCUUUUAAAUUUUUUCUUAUUGUCCUGAAUUUUCAUCUUUUUUAAAAAAUAAAAUUUUGAUGUGCA